AUGACUAUACUUUCAGAGAUCAGUUCUAUAGUUUGUUGCUAGAGAGGUUUCUCUGAUACAGUAGAGCACUUGAAACCACGUGGAAGAGCUAAAGUAUCCUCUCCUGAUCAUGAAGCUGGUUCUAGACAUUGCUUUUGCAACUGCCUUUUGCCAUUGAUGGCCAUUCUUUUCUUCCUUUCCAAGAGUGAGAGGUAGAGGAUGAAGUCUGAGUGUU